rnacentral:rRNA from 1 species
GGAUGAACGCUGGCGGCGUGCCUAAUACAUGCAAGUAGAACGCUGAAGGAGGAGCUUGCUCUUCUGGAUGAGUUGCGAACGGGUGAGUAACGCGUAGGUAACCUGCCUGGUAGCGGGGGAUAACUAUUGGAAACGAUAGCUAAUACCGCAUGACAACAGUUAUUGCAUGAUAACUGUUUAAAAGGGGCAACUGCUCAACUACCAGAUGGACCUGCGUUGUAUUAGCUAGUUGGUGAGGUAACGGCUCACCAAGGCGACGAUACAUAGCCGACCUGAGAGGGUGGUCGGCCACACUGGGACUGAGACACGGCCCAGACUCCUGCGGGAGGCAGCAGUAGGGCAUCUUCGGCAAUGGACGGAAGUCUGACCGAGCAACGCCGCGUGAGUGAAGAAGGUUUUCGGAUCGUAAAGCUCUGUUGUAAGAGAAGAACGAGUGUGAGAGUGGAAAGUUCACACUGUGACGGUAUCUUACCAGAAAGGGACGGCUAACUACGUG